CUUGGCUCACAAUUCACCGAUAUAGUCCACCCGUGGGAAGCCAUAGUGGGAGCAGCGGACACAGCUCGUCACAUUGUAUCCACGGUCAUUCUCCGACACCAGCCCGUGAGAUGGUGAUACCCACUUGUAAGGUGCCCUGUGACCUCCCCACCCUGAUGAAUUGUGCUCUGGUCUCCUUUCUGCUGCCACCAUGAUAAAACACCAGGAACAAACGCUGCAGUGGAGAAAAGGCCUACUCCAUCCUCAAGUCACAGCCCGCCAUCAAGGGACGCCAAGGCGGGAACUCGAGCUACCCUGUGAAAUAUUUAGAGGAAUUCAGCAUUCUGCAGCCCAGCGAGGAGCCCGCCACAGGCAACCCCCACAAUGGAGUCUUCCGUCUCAUCUGCAGGAAGUCACCAAGGCAGAGCUCACAUCUGUGCCUUUGUGAGAUGUCGGAUCAGGGUACAUGAAGACUUCCUUUGGCCUCAGCCCCAGCGCUUGCUCUGACUGUGCCUGAGAGCUGUGUCCUCACACAUGUGCAGUGAGUUCAGAAAGGCUGACCUUGGGAACUUAUAUUCCACUAAAAGCGAUUUGCUCCCAGCGUCAUGGUUGACCAGGAUGCCCAGCCAUUCUCUUACAGGUGUAUUUCUGUGAAAAUUGCUUCUCAGAAGUCAAGCUAAUUUACAGCAGGGUAUGUCUUUGAUAUCCUAAUUCAGUCUAGACAUCUUUUUUCCUACUUCUCCUCAAAGCCUGUCUCUUUAUGGGAGCCCAGCUGUCAAUCAUUCUCAGCCCUCAGAAAGGACUCAGCAUUCUCAUGGGGGAGGCAUCCAGAUGCUCUGCCUUCUUGUCUGCUAGACUGGAGCCAUGGAAGCCCAAUACUGCCCCUAGUACCCAACUGCUUGGUUGCGUCUCUGUCCAGCAGGUUGACUCUCGUCAACAAUCUCAUCACAAGCCAGACACAGUUCAGUGGCCAGUGUCAGGGCCCUUCAUCUACUCACCUCAAUAAAAACUUAAGGCUCAACUUGCUGGCUCCAGUCUCUCACUAAACCCAGGAAAUGAGAGAUCAUGCUCAUGCCUGUGCCAGGAGCCCCGCACUGAAGAGAGAGCCUGCAGCAUGGUGGAUUCGGAAGCCACCAAGCUUCCUAAUCCAGGCUGAGGCAGUUGUACCUGAAGCCUCUGUAAUAAAACUCUAAGUCCUAAGGAUAAGAUUUUUUAAAAAGUGGUGCAGGAGCUCACCAAGAAAUAUCCAGAAUAUUUCUUGGAAGGACCAAAGUUUCUCAUCACCAUUUCUUUGGUAGUAUUUUCAGUCUAUGUGCACAUGAUGGUCUUAAAUGCCUGGGCAAAAUUCUAGACAGAUUCACAGCAUUUGUUUUCUUUUAAAGGUUUGUUUAUUUUCCUGCAUAUGUGUCUGUGUACCACAUGUGUGCAGUGCCCAAAGAAGUCAGAAGAGAGCGUUGGAUGCCCUGGAGUUGGAGGUACAGGUGGUUGAGUCAACAUGUGGGUGCUGGGAGCUGAACCCAGGUCCUCCCAAGAACAACCAGCACUUUGAGCCAUCUCUCUAGCCCCAAAUUCACAGUAUUUGUUCAUGGUCCACAUGCUUCAGAGUCUGUGGGUUCUGUCCACACAUGCACGGUUCUAGAGAGUCUCAGUGAGGUUCGUGAUGUAGGAGAAUGGGAUGAGUAGAUGCCAUGGUCAAAUGUAAGUUCCUUUAUGUUAAGGCAAGUGUAGCCAUUUUCAGACUGGCAGAUGCCUCUGUAGGUAAAGCAAUUGCCCUGCAAGCGAUCAGAGGACCUGAGUUCAAAUCUCUUGAACCCAUGUAAGGCCAGACACAGUAGGGUGUGCCUGUAAUUUCAGGGUCCUUAUUGUGAGAUGAGGGUGGAGACAGGAGACUUCAGAAACUUGAGGGUCAGCUAGCUUAGAGAAGCACACAGCAAGGAGACCCGGGUUCAAACCAGGUGGAAAAUGAGCAACUGAAGGUGCCCUCUGACCUUCAUGUGAGUACUGUGGCACACAUGCACCCCUCCCCUGCAUGUACAUGCCUUUUCGAGCACACAUGAACAUACACACACACACACACACACACACACACACACACACAUACACACACACACACACACACACACACACACACACACACACCAUGGAUGGACCCAGAGGGUCAACAGCUGAGGUUGUCUUUUGGCCUGCAGACACAAAGGCACAUUGAACCUGCACACACACAUGGACCUAUAUACAUGAACAUGUACAUACACAAGGGGGCUGGAGAGAUGACUCAAGUGUUAAGAACACUAGCUUCUCUUCCAGGGGACCAUAGUUUUCACCUCAGCACCCACGUUGGUCCCCUCAUACACGGACACACAUCUUCCACCUCCGAAGUUCACAAUACUCAUUUCUGGGAAAGGCUCAGCACAAGGUUGAGCCAAGAACUGUCCAUUCUGAUUCCAAGAUCAGAGAGUUGUACUCAUUAAUACCUAGCAUUUAAUUAGAGUCAUGGGAAUCACUUAUCCAUAGGUUUAUAGCUUGUACUUAUUUCUAAUAAAUGUCACUACAUAACUGAAUUCCCUAGUCAGCUUUCUGAAAAAGAAUGCCCAGGAAUUUGUAUCUCAAAACACUUAUUCUCUCUUUUGUACUUUUAGACUCAACAGAAACCAGACAGAGAUGGAGGAAAGGUACUUAAACACAAAGCCUGAAGCUGGGUGGGCAGAAACAACCUUGAGUAAAACAGCUCUGGGCAGUCGCUUAGAGCUCCAGCUGCUCACACUUAAUCUCAGGGAGGCAAGGAUGGGGGAUGGUCUUCGGAACAGCCCAGAAGUCAGCAGGGUGAGCCAUGAGGGAGGGAGGCAGCUGCAAGAGAAGCUGGGUAGCUGGAAGAGAAGCUGGGCAGCUGGAAGAGAAGCUGGGUAGCUGGAAGAGAAGCUGGGCAGCUGGAAGAGAAGCUGGGAAGCUUCUGUGUUUUCUUGUUGACUUCUGAGCAGCAGUGGGAGGAGGGGGAGCCAACACCUGCACUAGCCACGCUGGUCUGAGCAGAAAUUCCAAGUUGACAUUCAGCCGCACAUCCAGGAAGUCAUGACUUGAUUUAAAGCCUGCCAAUACGCAUCAGGUUCGGUGUGACAGCUGUGUCUCAAUCUGAGUAGAAUUAUUUCUUUUGGAAGAGAUAAAUUUAUUAUUAAGAAAUUAAGACUUUGAAUGGAUAAUUCACUAUUAAAAACAGAACCGAACGUGUGAAUGAAAACCCUCCUGACAAUCUGUUUCUGAUCCUGAAGGGCAUCUGUGUUCAGUUUUAUUUCUGUAGGUGUAAAAUUUCUGC